CGCUGAAUGCAGGAAGGAUUGAAUUGCCACAUGAGACGCGAAUUUCCCACCAUCCAAGGACAGGGAGUCCCAGCCUGACCCUGAUUCCUUGGGGGUCCCUGAGUGGAAGCUCUGUGUCCCUGGCUGAGAUAUUGGAACUUUCCAUGAAGGUCAAGAAGCCCCAGGAGGAGGAGCCCAUGUCUCCCCAGCUGCCAGCAUGGGAGAAGCGAAUUCAAACGGUGCUGGAAUGGCCAAGGAGCCUGCCGGACUUACUGCACCAAGUAUGAAACCUUCAUGCACCUGUGCCCAGAUGCCUCCCUGUGCUGUAUCCCCUAUGGACUCAAGCCUGCAGUGCCCCAUAAGCCAGAGAAUGAGUAGCUGGUUCUGGGGCUGGCACACUUGCUCUUCAUAAAAUACAUGCUGCC